UGGGGAAUAUUGCACAAUGGGGGAAACCCUGAUGCAGCGACGCCGCGUGGAGGAAGAAGGUCUUCGGAUUGUAAACUCCUGUUGUUGAGGAAGAUAAUGACGGUACUCAACAAGGAAGUGACGGCUAACUACGUGCCAGCAGCCGCGGUAAAACGUAGGUCACAAGCGUUGUCCGGAAUUACUGGGUGUAAAGGGAGCGCAGGCGGGAGAACAAGUUGGAAGUGAAAUCCAUGGGCUCAACCCAUGAACUGCUUUCAAAACUGUUUUUCUUGAGUAGUGCAGAGGUAGGCGGAAUUCCCGGUGUAGCGGUGGAAUGCGUAGAUAUCGGGAGGAACACCAGUGGCGAAGGCGGCCUACUGGGCACCAACUGACGCUGAGGCUCGAAAGUGU
rnacentral:rRNA from 1 species